rnacentral:rRNA from 1 species
GACGAACGCUGGCGGCGUGCCUAACACAUGCAAGUCGAACGGAACUGUUUUGAAAGAUUUCUUCGGAAUGAAUUUGAUUUAGUUUAGUGGCGGACGGGUGAGUAACGCGUGAGUAACCUGCCUUCAAGAGGGGAAUAACAUUCUGAAAAGAAUGCUAAUACCGCAUGACAUAUCGGAACCACAUGGUUUUGAUAUCAAAGAUUUUAUCGCUUGAAGAUGGACUCGCGUCCGAUUAGUUAGUUGGUGAGGUAACGGCUCACCAAGACCGCGAUCGGUAGCCGGACUGCGAGGUUGAGCGGCCACAUUGGGACUGAGACACGGCCCAGACUCCUACGGGAGGCAGCAGUGGGGGAUAUUGCGCAAUGGGGGCAACCCUGACGCAGCAACGCCGCGUGAAGGAUGAAGGUUUUCGGAUUGUAAACUUCUUUUAUUAAGGACGAAAAAUGACGGUACUUAAUGAAUAAGCUCCGGCUAACUACGUG